GGUGAAUUGCUAAGUGCUCUUGGGGGAACAGCUGCAUCUAAUUUGUGGAUCCUUAACAGGUAACAUUCAAUCUCGUCGCAAUUAAUAAGAGCUCAGAGGUUGGGUAUUGAUUGUCAUUUUCUGUGCAUUUUAAAGUAUGUUAUUUUUAUUGGCGGUUCUGAUUUGGAUGUGAGCAGGAACUGGUGACCAUUGAAGUGAGACAGAGGGAGAUCACUUGAAUCUUUUGCAAAGUCUUUUCCAGCUGGCAUUCACAGACGCAUUUCUCCCUCUCUCCCUCCGUCCAUCUUUUCUUUCCUCACUCUCUCUUAACCACAUGAGUCUUGAGUCCCUCUGUGGUCCAGGACCAGGCUGAGGGCUUGUUCUCCUCUUAAUCAAAGCAACAGAUGCGAUUAGUCUGGAGUGGGUGGCACAGGCUGCUCUACCCCUGGGUAAUCAAUUUGCAAUGGCAGAUGCUCACGGGGAAGAAACUUGCCUGCUGCCCAACAGCUGUUCGCCAAAAAAAAGCCCCCUACUGUACAUCUUGGAUGGCCUGAGGUGUUGGAGAGGAGACAGAUGGUGCUGUUUUGGCGCCUGCGCAGUAAAACUUUUCCCGGACUAAAAAUGUUGCACUGAAUGGCGAUGGCAAUAAAAACAGCAACAGAUUGAUGGAUAAAUUAAGAGAAAAUGAUGAUAAGGAAUUAAAUCUUAAUAGUUAAACGUGAUUAUGAUGGACAGAAAGGAGGUGCGGGCAUGGGCUUUGCCUUUCGAGCAGCUGCCGAUUGGAAAAGAAACGCCAGCCAACAUUUAGUUGCACACAGUCUGGCUACUCGAGCCACCAGCGCAGCACACCUUGGCUAACUGGAAUUUGUAGCAUUACACUAAAAGGCAAUUAUUUCUACUUUGCUUGUCAAAGCACGGCAAGAGUUUGACAAAUGAUAGCAGGCCAUUUGAAGCAAUGUUCAUCCAUUUUAAUUAAAGCAUUGGGCUCGUGAGAAGACUGGAGUGGCACAAAACCGCUGCCCAGGAACAAUGUCUCCAGGCAGGACUGUGGGACAGAGUGCCUCACUAUUACAGCUGAAACCUCAUGGAGCUGGGACGACUGGUAUUUGCAUUUGUAAUACAGUGGGUAUAGAAAAUAAUCACCCCCACCUUUAAAAUAAUUACAUUUAGUUGCUUUGCAGCCUGAAAUGAAGACAGACCAUUUUUUUUUUUUUAUACAGCCUUUACUCUGUUGGGAAAUGUCUACUAAUGUCUCUACUAACUUUGCACAUCUAGACUUUGCAAUAUUUGUCCGCUCUUCUUCACAGAACUGCUCAAGUUCAGAUAAAUUUGGUGAUUGUUUGUGGACUGCAGUCUUUAAGUCAUUCCACAGAUUUUUAGUGUGGUUUAAGUCUGGGCUUUAAGAAAAAAAGGUCUUGCUGUAUAUUAUUUUUAUUGAAACCAUGAUACAGGAUUUAUUAACUUUAUUUUGUAAACUUAAUGUAAAGAAUGCAACCAAACAUUGGCCAAAACCCUAGUCUCUUAGAGUUCACAGAGCUGGUAAUAAUAGUAACAGUCACUUUCUAGGAAAAUCAUCAUGACAAAUCUGUCACUGAGUCUGACGAUAGAAAAAAAAUGACAUGCCUAGAGGACAGACACCAAUCCAUUUUUAACCAAAUAUGAUGUUUAUGUCAAACAAUCUGAGAAUACAUGAUGUCUCAUAUCUGUGCUGUCGGUCAAAAACUUUAUUGUCAGAUUUGGAAUUAAUCACUCGUCUUCAAAUAAACCUUAAGUCAGUGAAAGGAGGUGCUUAAGGCUUACUGAAAGAUGUCAAUAGCCGAAUAUUAUAUGAGCUAUUUUAGUGGAAAGUAGUCCUCGAGGGCCAUAGUUGAGAACCCCUGCGUUACAGCAUUAAAAGCAGCAUUCUAGUUAGAAAUGUCUUCUAAAUCUACAGAAGUUAUUCGGUCGAGAGCAGUGAGUGAUUUUCUGUUUUUAUUUAAUUGUUUGGCUCAGACUAAUAAAGUAGACAGCAGUAUAGGUACUGUAUACUACGCUGCUGUAACUUAAUACAUAGAUCUAAUGCAAUUUCUUUCCCAUUUGUUUACUUUCACAGACAUAACUGACUGUAUUUAUGCAUAUUAUUUGUGUUUUUGACAUAAUCAUGUGUGCAUUUGACAGUUUAAGC